rnacentral:rRNA from 1 species
AGGAUUAACGCUGGCGGCGUGCAUGAGACAUGCAAGUCGAACGGACGAGUGGGCUUGCUCACUCGUUAGUGGCGGACGGCUGAGUAACGCGUAGGUGACCUGCCCCGAAGUGGGGAAUAACUGCCCGAAAGGGUGGCUAAUACCGCAUGUGGUGCCACGUUCAUUCGUGUCUCCAAAGCCGUAAGGCGCUUCGGGAGGGGCCUGCGUCCGAUUAGCUCGUUGGUGGGGUAAUGGCUCACCAAGGCGACGAUCGGUAGGUGGUCUGAGAGGACGAUCACCCAGACUGGGACUGAGACACGGCCCAGACUCCUACGGGAGGCAGCAGUCGGGAAUUUUGCUCAAUGGGCGCAAGCCUGAAGCAGCAACGCCGCGUGGGGGAUGACGGCCUUCGGGUUGUAAACCUCUUUUCUUGGGGACGAUAAUGACGGUACCCGAGGAAUAAGUCACGGCUAACUACGUGCCAGCAGCCGCGGUAAUACGUAGGUGACGAGCGUUGUCCGGAUUUACUGGGCGUAAAGAGCGCGCAGGCGGUCGUACAAGUCGAGUGUGAAAUCUCCCGGCUCAACUGGGAAACGUCGCUCGAUACUGUUCGACUUGAAGGCGGGAGGGGGAAGCGGAAUUCCCGGUGUAGUGGUGAAAUGCGUAGAUAUCGGGAGGAACACCAGUGGCGAAGGCGGCUUUCUGGCCCGUUCUUGACGCUGAGGCGCGAAAGCUAGGGUAGCAAACGGGAUUAGAUACCCCGGUAGUCCUAGCCGUAAACGAUGGACACUAGGUGUUGGUGGUAUCAACCCCGCCAGUGCCGAAGCUAACGCAUUAAGUGUCCCGCCUGGGGAGUACGGCCGCAAGGCUAAA